GCUUGCGCCACAUUAGUUUGUUGGUGGGGUAAUGGCCUACCAAGACGAUGAUGUGUAGCUGGACUGAGAGGUCGAACAGCCACAUUGGGACUGAGACACGGCCCAAACUCCUACGGGAGGCAGCAGUAGGGAAUUUUCGGCAAUGGAGGAAACUCUGACCGAGCAACGCCGCGUGAACGAUGAAGUAUUUCGGUAUGUAAAGUUCUUUUAUUGAAGAAGAAAAAAUAGUGGAAAAACUAUCUUGACGUUAUUCAAUGAAUAAGCCCCGGCUAACUAUGUGCCAGCAGCCGCGGUAAGACAUAGGGGGCGAGCGUUAUCCGGAAUUAUUGGGCGUAAAGGGUGCGUAGGCGGUUAGGAAAGUCUAUAAUUUAAUUUCAGUGCUUAACGCUGUCUUGUUAUAGAAACUACCUUGACUAGAGUUAGAUAGAGGCAAGCGGAAUUCCAUGUGUAGCGGUAAAAUGUGUAAAUAUAUGGAGGAACACCAGAAGCGUAGGCGGCUUGCUGGGUCUUGACUGACGCUGAGGCACGAAAGCGUGGGUAGCAAACAGGAUUAGAUACCCUGGUAGUCCACGCCGUAAACGAUGAGUACUAAGUGUCGGGAUAAAACUCGGUACUGAAGUUAACACAUUAAGUACUCCGCCUGAGUAGUACGUACGCAAGUAUGAAACUUAAAGGAAUUGACGGGACUCCGCACAAGCGGUGGAUCAUGUUGUUUAAUUCGAAGAUACACGAAAAAUCUUACCAGGUCUUGACAUGCUCUGCAAAGCUAUAGAAAUAUAGGUGGAAGGUUAUCAGGGACACAGGUGGUGGCAUGGGGUUGUCGUCAGUUCGUGUCGUGAGAUGUUAAGGUUAAGUCCUAAAACGAGCGCAACCCUUGUCGUUAGUUACCAGCACGUAAUGGUGGGCACUUUAACGAGACUGCCAAUUAAACAUUGGAGGAAGGUGAGGAUUACGUCAAAUCAUCAUGCCCCUUAUGAUCUGGGCUACAAACGUGAUACAAUGGCUGUUACAAAGAGUAGCUGAAGCGCGAGUUUUUAGCCAAUCUCAAAAAAGCAGUCUCAGUUCGGAUUGAAGUCUGUAACUCGACUCU
rnacentral:rRNA from 1 species